UACAGGGGGUGCAAACGUUGCUCGGAAUUAUUGGGCGUAAAGCGCGCGUAGGCGGCUACCUAAGUCAGAUGUGAAAGCCCCUGGCUUAACUGGGGAAGUGCACCCGAAACUGAGUAGCUAGAGUGCGAAAGAGGGUCGCGGAAUUCCCGGUGUAGAGGUGAAAUUCGUAGAUAUCGGGAGGAACACCGGUGGCGAAGGCGGCGACCUGGGUCGACACUGACGCUGAGGCGCGAAAGCGUGGGGAGCAAACAGG
rnacentral:rRNA from 1 species